rnacentral:tRNA from 1 species
GAAGCCCCGGCACCUUUUGGGGUGCUUCUUCAGACUUGCAAUCUGAUGUGUGUCGUACACUCCGGGG